rnacentral:rRNA from 1 species
UACAGAGGGGGCAAGCGUUGUUCGGAAUUACUGGGCGUAAAGGGCGCGUAGGCGGCCUUCUAAGUCAGACGUGAAAUCCCCCGGCUUAACCUGGGAACUGCGUCUGAUACUGGGAGGCUAGAGUAUGGGAGAGGGAUGUAGAAUUCCAGGUGUAGCGGUGAAAUGCGUAGAUAUCUGGAGGAAUACCGGUGGCGAAGGCGGCAUCCUGGACCAUUACUGACGCUGAGGCGCGAAAGCUAGGGGAGCAAACAGG